UCGCGGCGUCCCAGGCCGAGAGCUGGUUAUUCAGGUUUCUUUGGAAGAAAUACACGCUCGUCCCACUGAAAGGCCCAGUCCAGUCAGGUGAUGGACUCCUCUCUGAAACUGCCCAAGGUCACCUCUCCUAUCCCUGUAUUCCGUUUGGAUCCUUAUGCCAACGUGUUAGGAAGGCCCCCUCUGGUGGGUUUUGUACUGUCUCUAGCAUUUAACACUUAAUAUUUAAACACCACCAAUGAGGUGGACGUCCUACUCACGGGACUGAGUUUCCAAACGGGCCAGAGAGCAGCACGUGAGCAUUUUGCAGGUACUUCAAGGGAGCGGGUUUAAGAAUAACCUGGCCGCGCCCCGCUGUAAUCCCAGCACUUUGAGAGGCCGAGAAGGGCGGAUCACCUGAGCAUGGCAAAAUGAGGAAACCACUGACAGGUGAAGAAUUUGCACAAUGGAAAACCACCUUGACCAUCUCAUGACUUUAUACAGGAAUUGGAGGUAAGUGUUCCUUUAAAGUGAUUUUGUCAUAAAAGAGUCAUCUGAAAUGACUCUCAUGAUGGAGGAAAGGAAAGUAAUGAAAUCAACAUUCAUGGUUAUUUAAAAUGCCUUAAAAGCUAAGCAUAAUAUACAUAGUAACUCCUUUUCCUAGUAUAAAAAUAGUGCCAGAAACUAUAUUUGUUCAAAUAUAUUGAAAAGGUAUAAGAAUACAAAUAGAUAUUAACAGUGGCUAGUGAUGCCUCAUAAGGUUUUCUUUUCUUAAACUGUAAUAUAAAUUUAUAUUUUCAACUAUUUACAUUGCUUUCAACAACAUUCAUUAAGACAUGUUUACACAGGCUUUUAGUAAGUAUAUGGAAUGGUAAAGUGAGCUUUAAUACUUUCUUCUUCACUCUCUGUAGUAGAGCAGAAGGGGUCCAAAACCAUGCACAAUUUAACAGUCCAGAAGAACUGUGUAAUCUUUACCUGGCUAGCACAUGGAAAAAAUAAACUAUAUACAAGAAUACAAAACUCCUAAAGUGUUCUUCAACUAUCAACAGGUUAAGUGAUUCAUACUUGCAAAAAGACAGGAUAUUUGUUCACUGGUAGAUUCUUAGUAAGUUUCAGGUAAAGAAGGUGCAUAAAACAUAUGUUAUUGAUGAAAAUGGAAGUGAUGCAGUAUACCCCACGUUCUCACGUUAAAUCGGCAGUAUCAGAAGCUAAGUCUCUUCUCCAGCACCUCCUUCAGGGACCGUGAGCUCCUUGAGGUCACUGCUCUGUCUUCACAGCAGAGCACAGUACCUAACAUGUGGCAGGACUCAAUAAAAGGUGGGUCAAUGUAUUUCUGACACAAAACAAUUAAAUUGUGCCACCUUAUUUUGACUACAGUUGUUCAUAAGAGAGGAUAACGAUGACAUUUUGUAUCCUCUCAUAUUAAAUCAAUCUUGUAAACAAAAGACAAUUGCUUGUGAUGGCCUGUGAAGUUUUAGGAGUACAAUCUGGUGAAAAACACAGAAAAAAAUUGUAAAUCAAAUUGGAACAGGUCUAAUAUUUAUUUGCUAUGCUGAAAAUAAAGGCACUUCACUGCUAGGCAAGAAUAUAUCUGUGACUGAACAGUUUUCUCCAAGACUCCAAUAUUUCCAGUAUAUUUUUAUAUACUUUCUUAUCUCUAAUACGCCUAUUAAAGGAAACUAUUAUUCAAAAUUAGGAGACAGUGGUGACAACAUCAUCAUUCUGGGUUUGUAGCUUGAAGCAAUGUACUCAAUGAGCUCUAAAUCUCACAUUCACUAGUGAUCUGCAAGUGAAGCUGAAUAAAUAUAUUCUCUUUGUUCAGUCUUGGAAACUCAACAUUAGAAAUGACAUGUGGGAAUAGAUCACCUUCUCUCUAGACUAAUAUCCCAUUUCUAACAGUGGUCUCCACGGCCCUUUGGGGCUUAUAAAGUAGCUGCCUUCUGUGACAUUCUGCUUGAAGACAAAGGCUUUGUCCAAACAUAACUCCUUUUAAAAAAGCACAACUUGUUUAGGCACACAGAGGUUAAGUGACUUACACAAAUCCACCCAGGAUUGUGAUUGGCACGGUCUAAUCUACUGAAAAAUAUAAGGCCAGGCAAUUAUAUAGAUAUCUUUUAACAAGUUAGUAAAAUAGUGGGGACUUUUCUGGCUAAAAAUUGAAAUUAAAUGGUAUGUUAUUCUGUUAUAACUAAAGAAACAAAAAAUCUAGAACAAGAACUUCUUGCUAGUUAUGGGUAAUAUAAAUACAGAGUAAGGUGAAGGAGGACUAUAUGUAUAUUUUUCCAACUUGAGAAGAUACUAGAAAGGAAAUUAAAAAUUAUUUGAACAAAUUAACCAGCCCUAAAGAAGUACUCUGCUUUGUAUUUACUAAAAUAUCCAACAAAGAAAUAAAAUAGGCAUUGCCCAGCUUCUUUUAAUGUCUCAACUAGUAAAGUAAAAUAAACAAUAUUCAAAGGCAGACCAAACCAUUUCUAAUCUAAAUAUAUAUUCUUGCUUAUUAAAAUGACACACAUACAAAGCCUCUAAACACGAUCUACCAUGUCUUUAAAAAAUUUCUCAGUGACACAUACUAGAGGGGACCAAACAAACUACUAAAGCAUAAGUACAUAUUUUAGCAUAACUGCUAAAUCACAAUGUAAUAAAAAGGUUUAUUAAAGAUUGCUAUUCUUUAUGCAAUUUUUCUAUACUAAGGAUUUAUGUAUGCAUGCAUAAGUAUACACCUGUAUGUAUAUAAAACUAUUAUUUUAGUGAUAGUCUGUGUAUUUUACACACCAGUGCCACCAAGGGGCAACCUGACAAAUUUUAUCUGUAUGGCAAAAAAAAUAAAAUAUCCUGAAAAUACAAGUAUACAAUACAUAUAGCAUUAAACAGUUGGUAACUUCCUAGAUUAACCUUUACCAAAUACAAAAUAAUGGCAAUACAAUGUGUUUUGCCUCUAUUUUUUGUUUUUUUACCAGAAUGAUAAAAAUAAAACUGCAUUAUGUCAAGAUAUUUGUACACACUCAGGAUUUUAAAAACUUAAAGAACAUACUGAAUUUUAGGCAAAAUUUAGGGGAAUCGGGACAUAGAUGGAAAACACAUUUUGGCGAAAGGUCCUUGAGAAUGCUGGAUUACCAUGUCCCUAAGAAAUUUUCUAUCCAAAUUAGUGAUAGAAACUCAGAUCAAGUAUCUUUUUUGUGGGUUGGAGGUAGAAGUUAACAAAUCAAGCAAAUCUCUCCUUCUACUCUCCCCAAAUCCAAACAUUCCUGCAUAUUUGAAACAAAUUUUCCUUUCCUAGACCAGUUGGUUAAUUCAUUAUCUACUUCUCCAAUAUUGAGUAAAUGUGUCUUUAGGGGCACACAUGUAGAAUAUUAAUCCACUUAAAUGGGCUCAAAUUCUAAGAAAAUAUUAACUAUACUAAAUGUUAUGGGAAGAAAAUACAUUGAAUAUGAGUUAAGGGCCAGUGUUUAGCAUUCACAUCCAGCAUUCUCUGGAUCUCAGUUGACUUGUCCUAUACAUCAAAAUAUGGUAAUUUUUCAAUCACAAUACUGCUAAAUGUUAUUCAGGCAUAAAGUUUCUUACCCACUGUUCCCUCAAAUUCAUUUUUGACCCUAGUAUUGGCAAUAGCCCUUUGCUAUUUAUAUAGUUAAAACUUUUCUUUAAAUUUCAAUUGACAGGAAAAAGAGUCAUUUUGUACUCUCAUCUAUAAUCAUGUCUCACUUCAAGUCAAUGCUACAAGUGUCACUUUUAUUUUGAAAAGGAAGCUCAGAAGGAAAAAAACUCUUAGAGAGAUCUUCUAACAGAACAUUUUUCUUCACUGAUAGACAUCCAAGGCCAUUCCAUUUCUAGAUCACACUUAUCCCUCAAUCAGGUCAGUGACUGGAUCAUCUCCUAAGGUUUCACCUGCUUUGCAUCAGAUAGAGAAGCUACCUAAGACUGAAGAAAUGUAAUGUGGGGGAAAAAUGGGUAAACUGAGAGAAACCUGAGGGAAAAAGAAAAUAGUAAAGUGAAAAUAAAGUGAGUUGGACUAUGGAUCAGCUUCUGUGCUCAGCAUCAGAAAAUGGGAUGACAAUGAACAGAGUAACACGAGUAUAUUUCUGAAAAAGGAUGAACUUACUGGAAACAGGAUUGCGUGCCUGAAAUAGACCCAAAUGGAUAUAAAUAUCUGAACUCAGUUCUGGGCUGGAGAUAUGGAUUUGGAAUGCACCAACAUGCAGAUGGUAAUCCUGGCAUGUGAGUAGGUGAGAUCAUCCAUGGAGAUGGCCUAUAAUGAGAGCCUAUAACAUGUCAGGUAGUUUGCUUUAAUUUUUUUUAGUUUAUUAUAUUUAAUUUUUACAAUAACCCUGUGCAGGGCAUUCCCAUUUACCACAUCAAAACCCUCAAUCCCACCUCUUACUCAUCCACUGAUGUAGUGUCCAGUUUCAUGCACGCUGUAACAGACUUCACGCAAGUACCAGUUAGAAGGUGUUUUGUCCCAGCCUACCUUUAAUACCUCUCACUUCUGCCUUAGAGCUUUCUGACCCCACAGCUGGUGCCCAAAGGAAUUUUCUCUGCACUCAUACUUGUUCAACCUGAAAGUGUCAAAGAGUGAAGGCCUGUGGACCACCUUGGACCAGGGGGGUACAAAGACCUAGGGACAACUGCCUUUGUCUUGCCAGUCAACAGUUCUGGGUCUUAUUUCAUAAGACUCCUCAAAAGCGCCUGGGAAGACUAAGCACCAGUAUGGGUGGACAUCUGGAUAACUCAUCCCUCUACUGCCUUUCCUUUCUUCCCUGCUUCCUUCCCAGUUCUGCAUUCCUGCUCCCUGGGGUCAUAUUCACAAAUAACCUAUAUGCACACUGACUUUCAUCUCAGGUUGUGUCUCCAGGGUAACCUCAGCUGAGACCUCUCUAAAGUUGCCACCUUUUUGCUUUCUAGACAAUCAAAGGCUCAGUGAAAAAUAAUGUGCUCAAGGUUGAUAUAAAUGGUAGAGCUGUCAUUCAAGUAUAUCCUCUUCAACACAUCACACUGUCUUAGGAUACCAAAGUACUUUAAAGGCACACAGUAUCCACUCAUUGACCUACUUAGGGGCUGGACUACGAAAUGCAAUUAGGUGGAUAUAACACAAACAAGUUAGAACUUCAAACACACAUUACAUUUUUAGAUGAUGCAGAAGGGACUGUUUCACAUUAGAGAAAAUUCUUGGCUUGAGAUAGAUGAAUGCAAACUGUGUUUGCCUUUACUUACAUUCUAAAAAUACAGAUUUAUGAAUCCAUAACAGAGUGACAAAUGCCUCGAAUUUCCUGUAUAUAAAAACAUUCAUGGAAACCAGUGUAUUCUCUAUCUGUUGCAUUUUCCUCUUUCAAACACGAGGCUAUGUGGCUUCUUUAUUUAAGAUUGCAUCAGAAGGACCCAUUUAAACCACCACUGCUACAGAAUUUUGUUCUCACACUGCUGUCAGUGAGCACUAAUGGAACAGCAUACUCACUUUGCAUUUUCCUCUGUUCUGCACAGUUGUUGGUCCAUCUCUGACAGUAGUAUUAGGAUGUCCAAUGCAGAAAUCAGACCAAUAUUUUAGAAAUAGAAAGCCUUAGAAAUCUAUAGAAGAUGAAAGCCCCAUGGGGGUGGGGAACCAUAUUGCUACCCCAGUCUUCCUAUGUCACCAAGAACAAACAACGUCCUUGGUUCUGCUUCUUAGCCAUAUAUAUUACUCUGGGCUCAAUUCUCUAACAACCUCUUUGUAACCUUCAAUCCCAUUUAGUUCUUUACUUCAUCAUUUCUCUUCAAAUCAUCACUAUUGCCUUCUCCCAAUCAACCUUUUUUUUUGCCUUCUCAUUGUCUAUAAUCAUAUUCAAUGACAUAAAUAUUCAUAAUGAUGAUUCAUUUCACCUUUUGAUCUCAGAAUUCUCUGACCUCCUUGACACUACUGAUUAUCUCUUUGCACAUAAUGAUGGACAGGGCUCCGCUUCUUUGUUCCACAGCUACUAGGUUCUACUGGGCACAGUAUUUUUGCCACUCCCUUUAUUCACCACAGGACAAAGCAAGAUCUUGAACUCCUGUCUGUUGCUAAGAACAUUCCCCUGUGAAAAUAGCUAAAACCUGUAGAGCAUUUAACAUGUGCCAGGAAAUGUUCUAAGCACUUUACAUCUAUUUAUACCCCUUUAAUCCUUAUGAAAAUCCCAGAAGAUAGGUAUUUUCAUUAUUCCGUUAUACAAAGAAGUAAACAGGGACAUAGAGAAGUUUAAUGACUUGCACAAGGUCACAGAGUAAGAGGAGAGAGAAGCCAAGAUUUGAAGCUAGGCAUCUGGCUCAAGUUGGCUCUUAACUACAAUAACCAUCACAGCCACUGCAUGGUGGUAUAAGGACUAAAUGAACUAAUAUAUAAAAAGUGCAAAAAUGUUUCAAAUGGCGUAAGGCUUAUAUAAAGUUUUAGCUUCUAUUAUUAGUAUUUACUACUGACAUAGGACUAAUUGAAUUUAACUUUCACUUUAUUCAUAGUCAGAUCUCCAGGCUCUCAAGAUCUCCAACCUGACCAGAGAUCAUCUCAUUCAUGUUUAAAAUGGACUUUACCCAGUUUGAACUUCACACAUGAUUUUGUGCUGUGUGUAGUGCCCUUUUAGGUCUCUCAGAUCCUGCUGACCCUCUAUUCCCACUGUGCCAGACCAUGACUUCAGCUCACUUCUGUCCUCUAUUAGAGCAGAGAAGACAGUCAUGGGAUAGAACAAGUUCUCCCAGGACAAAUAUACAGUGUGAUUGUGGCUACCAGGAGAUUUUUUUCCCCCUGAUUUUAUUGCAUCUCUAACCUUGAAAAAAACACUUCGCUUGAUCAUUUUACCACUUCUAACUACCACCCUAUUUAUUAUCUUCUACUGGACUUAUUGCCAAAACUCCCAUAACCUCCAUUCUUGCCAUCCCUCUCUCUCAAUGCACACAUAUACAUAUUUCCCAGCUCUUUCAUUUUCAUCAAUGGCACCAUCACUGUUCCAAUUUCUUGGACCAGAAGUCAUAUCUCCUUCCUUCAUGCUUAUAUAUAACUAGCUGCUCAUUAUUAAAUUAAAAUUUUUUUUUCCUUCAGUCUCUUCCUCUCUCUAGCCAAUAUGUGAUUUUUCAGCUUAUACCUGACUUGCUGUAACAGCUUUCUAGUUGAGCUCUGUGGUUCUAAUUUCUACCCAUUCACCUAGUAGCUUACAUUCAGACUUCCUUCCUAAAACUGUGUGUUUAUUACACACUGCAGUGGCUCCUUUUUCCCACCCAUAUCAAAUCUAUAAUGCACUGCUUAGUUUUAUAACCCUGCGUCAAAAAGUUUCCAUUUGUUCAUUCUCUUCUUUUUCAUUCCUAAUCAGUGUGAACCUUCUAACUCUAGUCAAGCUAGCCAUCACCACUAUUCCAAGAACAUGCUUACCUCAUGGUGCUCCUGAAAUAUAUUUAUCCUUUCUCCUUUCUAAAUCCUACCCACAUUUUAAGACCAAGUUUAAGUCUCAUUUCCUCCAUUAACAAUGGAGAUGUACUACAUCUGUCUUGACCAGUUUUCUCUGCUGAAGACUUACAGUCCAUGCACUAAAUGACUCAGGACUAGAUACUUUCUUAUAGUGAUCACUAUUACUUCAUGAGACUAUGACAAUUCUUAAUGGCAAGAAUCACAUUUUAUACUUCUAUCACUCUCUUUCUGCCUUGCAAAGGGCAAAAGCCCUAGUAUAAUAAUUAUUCAUUAUCUAUCUGCCUAGAAUAUAACAUAAUUUCACUGCAUUACUUAUCAACACAAAACUUGAAUCUAAGCAAAUAAAUGCGUCUACAACAGUCUUCUUAUAUUGAAUGCAGACCUAAUGCAGGUAAUCUCUCUACAUAACCCAAAUGCUACAAUUGUGUUUUCUCUAGUGGUUGUCUGCACUUUAGCUAUUUUGUUCCUAUUACUGCCUAUUUUUAAAAUAAGAAUUCAGUAUCUAUCUGAGAUCAUUCUUUUUUUUUUUUGAGAUGGAGUCUCGCUCUGCUGCCCAGGCUGGCAUCAGUGCUGAGAUCACAGCUCACCGCAACCUCUGCCUCCUGGGUUCAAGCGAUUCUCCUGCCUCAGCCUUCCAAGUAGCUGGGACUACAGGCACCCGCCACCACACCCGGCUAAUGUUUUUUGUAUUUUUAGUAGAGACGGGGUUUCACCAUAUUGGCCAGGCUGGUCUCGAACUCCUGACCUCGUGAUCCACCUGUCUCAGCCUCCCAAAGUGCUGGGAUUACAGGCGUGAGCCACCGCGCCCAGCCCUCAUUCUCUUCUUGAUUCACCCAAGUGGGAGAAGUAAGCAUGAGCAGUGAACUCUUCCCUCAUAUAUGCCACUGGCAUACCUGUAGAACUCCUCUACAAUGGUAGUUUCCUAAUCAGAGAAGGCAUAAAAUAAUCAAAUGAUGACUCAAGGGGCAACUUCCUAUUGAAGAAAUAUCUUCCUUCAAGGUAAUUUCAGGGUAAUUUUCUGAAAAGAUGUUCAAGAAUGAAUGAGGAAAAUCUCAGUUUCUAACUUUGCUACCACAUGACCAUUUUUUCUCUUUUUGAUAAAUUACUUUCAUCUCUGUGCAUUGUUUUAUUUUUUGAUUUUCUCUAACUAUUAGUUUGAAUAUCUGAUGAGGGCUGGACACAGUAUACCUUUUUAGAAGAUAGUACUUUACAUGGGAAUAUUUAUGGUACUCAUAGUUUCCUGGGUCCCCUGGCUAAGAAAAUUCUACUUUAAAUAUCACUCAUUUACCAGCAAGGAAGGAAAAAAAAGAAAAAUCCCUGGAAAAUUCUUGGUUUCCUCUACUGAAACCACAGGGAUGUAGGAAGAAAUAAAAAUCUUUGAAACUGCUUUAACUUUUUUUUUUUUUUUUUAAAGUUGAAGUCUGCUUUGUGGUGUGUUGUGUGAAAGCAAGAUUCUGCAGUCAAUGACUUUUUCCCAGGACGUUUUCUUUUUCUUUUUCUUUUUUUUUUUUUUUUUGGAGAAGAUGACGUUUCUCCAGAUGUUUUCGGGGUAAUUAUUUUUAAAUAAACAAAGGAAAAAAUAGUUGAGUGUUUUUUUUCACUCUAAAGCAGGGCAAUAUAGCAUCUUAGAGCAAUCCAUACACUAAUAAUCCACAUACCAAAAAUAUUAUGUUCAGUGUAGCACAUACUUAUUCUGAUCUUUAGGUUGUGCUGACUGUGGAGGGGCAUACUAUGUGGCUUGACUCUGUACUAUACAUCUUUUCAUAUCAGUGUCCCCUUUCAUAAUUAUUCUGUGUCUAUGUGAGGCUCAGGAUUGCAAUCACAUGACAAAGCACAGGGGACAAAGGACAUUUCACCCAGUCAGUUCUCCAAAACAUGAGAUUUUUCAAGAGGAAACAGCCAGACUCUGAUACUCAGGCAAGAGCUUGCUAUCUUUUCCCAUCAAAGGUCAGCAGAGGACAUGGUUGUUACAUCACUACAAUUCUUUCUACAUGAAGUUUUCCGUUUAUUUAGAUAAGAAGAAUGUGAUUAGAGAGCUUUCUGAAAUUCCCUCUAGAUAUCAGACAUCUGGAAUUUCCUUGAGAGAUCUGUCCAUUAGUUGAAUCACUUGUGUACUUAAAAAAUGCUCAGUAGUAAGAGGUCUUGCACUUAAAAUGUAGACCUUUCAACUAAAUUCCUAUAAGAAAAUAAAAAUAUCACAGUGGCUCAAACAUUUGAUGAAAAGUGAUGUCACUUUUAUCCUCUCAUUUGUCAUCUCAAAUGCCACUUAAGUAUGGCUCUUAAAGGAGCCUGAAACACUUGUCCUAACGGAUAGUGUCUCACUCUCAAACUCAGCCAAUGAGCAGACAUCUGAUGAUGGUACAUCUCUAGCAUCUGCUUCUAAUAUUUAAGACUUAAAUAGGUACCAAGCAUUCUGCUUGGUAUUGAUGUGCACUAUCUUUUACAACUAUUAUCUCCAUUUUACAGAUCAGGACAUAAUGGUAUAAAGAAAUUAGACAGAGGCCCAGUUUUCCAACAGAGUGCUAUGUAGCUUCCACUAAGACCAAAAGCCUCCUUCUACUGAGCACUUAAUAAGUAUGUAGGGCCAAGCUAAGCACUUUUCAAAUAUUAUCUUUUCUACUGCAGGGUGAAAUGUUACCUUUUCUAAACUAGUCUUAAUAGUUUUCUAAGGAAGCUGUUAAGCUGGAUGUAUAUAAACUAAAGUAAAACUCCUGGUAAUUAUCUAAUGAAAUAAGAUUCUCAACAUAAAUAUGUUUUGAACUUCAGGGCUGAAAAAUUAUAAACAUAAUACUUAACCUGCAUUAUUUUUUCCAUUUCCUUUAAAUAUAACCAGAGUAUGUUAUGGGACCUUGACCAAUUGCAAUUUUGUACCAUCAAACUUUGCUGUGGCUUUAACUUAAAAAAAAUACAGCCCUACAAUUAAAAGAAAACAUUUUCUUGCUUUACUGGGAAAGUCUUACCGCUGUAUGUAAGAGUUAUUCACACCACGGUGAUCCAAAUCGUGGCUUAGUGCAGCAAUCAGCAAUGCAAGUAUCUCCAGGUCAGUCAGCUUGUUCUGCAUGAUCAAAGACAUUGGAGGAAAGAGAGAACAAAUAUAAUGUGGUGAAGAACAUUAUAUUACCUCUUUUCAGUAAUCUUUUUUUUCCCCUCAGUGCUUUACAUACGUACUUCUCUGUAGUCACAAAGGACUAACCCUAGAAUCCUAUUCUUCAGGGAAUCAGUUGUCCUUUGUCAUUCAGCAUGGGAUCACCACAAAUGUCACUUAUCAACAGGAAAAGCUGAAAUGCCUCAAUAAAUUAAUAAUCUGUCCACCUAUAGGCUCAAGCACCUCUUACUGCCUCUUCACUCUGGAACCAAAUGCCAUACUGUAAGUGGCAUCUAGAUCUUGCCAGUGACUUUCCUGUACAGGGCCUAAACUCAAUCUCUAGUUUUCUCAGCAUUUAAGGUACAUGGAUGGGGGCACCUUGGCAGUUAUGAUUAUGUUGUAUUUUUCAUGCUCGAUUCCAUACACAUCACUUUGGUCCUGCUUCCUCACAGGUAGGAGGAGGGAUAUGUCACAGCUCCUGGCUUAAAUGGAGGACUCUAGCCUCUACUGGGUUAAAGUAGUGGAGGGUUAGACUCAAUAUGUGGUAGCCUCUCUUCUUAUUGCAAUAAUGUUCUAAAUUUUAAAAACUGACUUUUCUGAAAUUGUCAUUUUUUUUUUCAGGGAUGGGGGAGGUGUCUAUAUAUUUGCCAUCUGUUUUUAAGGUUAAUUAAUAAUCUCUCACAAGAGAGAAAAAGAAGGCUCUCUUCCAGGCCUCUUUGUUUCUUCUCUGCCUAGAAUGCAUAUUCCCAUGUUUUCACAUAGCUAAUUCUUUAACUUUUUUUAUGUCUCAGCUGCGUCAGGGAAACAUUCACUAGUCCUUGUGAUAGCAAGGCUCCAUGAACAUCUGUUUCAACCUUUUUUCUAGUGAGUCUUAAUCUUCUGAGUAGGCUAGACAGCUAACAAAAAUACAUUUCCUUGACUCCCUUGCAACUAGGGUUCCAGAUAGAUUUGGUUUCGGCAAUGAGGCAAACUUGAGUGAGACUUGAAUUUCAAACUAAUGUAGUGACACAUGGGAAACUCAUUAUUUUGGGGGGACGCGACUCUAGAGGGAAUACUGCAGUCCUGCAGCUUGCGGUUCUGCUAGCAGCUUUCUGACUCUGGCCUAUGUACGUAGAGGUUUCCAUAGUGAGUCAGAACAGCAAUUUUGUUCUAGGACUUAUUCCUGGGAUGACUUACCUACCCUUUACAAUGAUUUGAAAGUACUUAGUUAAAUUCUUUUCUGCUUAAAAUAGCUACAGUGGUUCCUACUACCUGCAAUUGAACCCUGUUGAUGCUCUAUUUUGCAGCAAAAGCAUGUGUAGGCAACAGACUCUCAAAAGUUUGGAUAUUUGACCUGAUGAGUUUGAAGGCAGAGGGGAUCCGUUUCCAUUAGAGCAGUGGUUCUCAAAGUUAAGUUCCUGGACCAGCAGCAUCAGCAUCUGGGAACUUGUUAAAAAUGCAAAUUCUUGGGUCCCAACACAGACCUACUGAAUCAGAAACCCUGGGAGUGGGCUCAGCAAUCUGUGUUACAAAAACCUUCCAGGUGAUUCUGAUGAAUGCUGAAAUUUGAGAACCACUGCAUUAGGGAUAGGUUAUUGGUAGCAAAUAGUAGUUAACAGUCAUUUUAAGUGAACAGUUUAGAACAAAAUGCCUUUUUGUGGACCCCGUGGUGACUGCCAUAUCACAGUGUGAUGGGCAGAAACUGUAAGUGGGUUGGCUGCUUCUUGCUGUGUCAGAGAGAUUAAAGAAAGAAAAUGAAGGGCUCUGGGCUUUAAAUUUUUGGCUCAAAUAAUGGUCUGAAAACUAGGGAAGUUUUAUGGCUUUCCUAAAACAGCCUAUUUCUUGUAGCACUGAUGUAGCCAAAACCCAAGUGUAGUCUUAUCCUACAGGUUGGUGAAUUACAGUGUAGGUUGAAAUCACAGACUUGCCACAUCUCCUAUGUGAAAGUUAAAGCACUGAUUAGGAAGGAGUGGAGCACCAAGAAAUGGAAUUGAGACAUAUGAAAAGAUCUGGAUAAUGACAUGUAUCUCAGACCAUUCACUCUAGAAAUAUGUUUCUAUGUAAUUUCACAAUGUUUUAUACUUUACAGUCCUACCUCUAUUUCCUAAUUGUAAAUAUACAAAUUGUAUAAUUAUCUUAUAUAUGACUUUUUAUUCAUUGUUAUAUUUGGAGCACCUAAUAUAAUGCCUGCAUAGAAUAGGAGUUAAAUAUUGAAUGAAUAAAUAAAUGGGUUUUUAAAUCACCUAGUACCUAAUCAGUUUCUCCAUAUUAUGCAGAACUAUUUCAUAUAAAUUUAAUUUGGCAUAGAGCUAUAGUAUAGUAGUCAUAUUAGUAAAGAACUAUACUAUGGCAGAAACAACCAAUAUGUUGUGGUACAUGCCUUUUUCUCUUAAAGUUCAAUUAUUCAAUUUAUUUUCUUUUGAAAAAUUUUUAAUGAUAAUUGAGUUUCUUCGUCCAUCUGCACAACAAAUACUCCAUUGCUGUAAUUUUAAAAAAUCAGUUACAGCUUGUCUUAAUAAUCAUUAAGAUUUGAUUCUCUCACUUCCAACAACACUGAAAACCCAGGAUGAGAAAGCAGUGACCAAAAAGUUUUCCAAUUUUUAGCUGCUUUCGUAGGAAGUUACUGAAAAUGGUGAAUUCGAGAUUGCUUCCCGUAAGUAAAGAACUGGUUAUACAUUAUGAAUAAAAGGUUUACACUUUUUUGUGCUUACAAAAUAUGACAUAUUUUCCCCCAGUAAGCUUUCCACCUACCUAAUUCAACUUAAGCUAAUUUAAACAUGAGUGUAUAAUUUCUUUUUUUUUCUUUUUUCUUGAGAUGGAGUCUCACUCUGUCAUCCAGACUGGAGUGCAGUGGCACGAUCUUGGCUCACUGCAACCUCCACCUCCCAAGUUCAAGGGAUUCUCCUGCCUCAGCAUCCUGAGUAGCUGCGACUACAGGUCUGCACUGCUCCCGAUUGCCUUCCCUCCUGCCUCACCAGUUGAUCCCUAUACCUCCUUCACAAUGAGCUCCAGGAGGCCUCUAACUUACAGUGACAGGAUCCCAGAAUGUGAAUUUUGAACAGAUCUGAAAAGUUAUUAAGUUCAACUCCACAGAGGCUCCUGGGAGAAUGUUAACAGUCCAGACCUUUUUCACUACAUCAACCAUGGAUGACUGGCAUAUAAAAUCCUACUUAACCUUUACAUAACUGCAAUACCAGGAGACAAAUAUGUCAAUAAAAGGAAACAUCAUUCAA